UAUUGUUGUCUCUACCUUCUUGCCCUUUGUGCUGUCAUCUGUGCCUAGUUAAAUAUAUUAAACAUGUAAUUGCCCCUCCCUGUUGCAUAGAACAAGCUUCCAUUCCCUGUCACCAUGAGAUUUAUGGCUGAUUUAAGAUAAAAUCGUCAAAACACUUACGGUCAACCCUGUAGAUUUGUUUGUCACUUAAUAGGCCCUUACUAUAAUAUUUUUAUUUUUAUUUAACCUCUGAUGUAUUUUUUAAAUUAAGUUUAACAUGUGCUCUUUAUGACAAUGUUAAAAUGAGGUGAAAUAAAAAUCACCAAGUUACCUUACUCAUAAGGCACCUAACUGGUGGAACAGUCCCGUGUUUUGUCAUAGUGUUUUGCUAAUACCUGAUGUUGUCCUGUGGUUUUGUAUAGGUUUGUUCACAAUGUGAUUGGUCACUACUACACCUGUGACUCAGACGUCCAGAAGGACUCUGAACUGCAGAACUGGAUCAAGGAGAUCUUCUUCCAUGGGUUCCUGGCAGAAACCAGCACAGGAAUCCCUCAGUCUUUCAGGUUGAUGACAGAGCUGGUCAAUUUUCUCACCAUGGUGAUCUUCACAGUGUCUGUCCAACAUGCUGCAGUCAACAAUGGAC